UCCGCAGGGGGGUUUGCCAAGUCUGAUGUGAAAUCCCGCGGCUCAACCGCGGAACUGCAUUGGAAACUGGUGAGCUUGAGUGCACGAGGGGUGAGCGGAAUUCCUGGUGUAGCGGUGGAAUGCGUAGAUAUCAGGAAGAACACCGAUGGCGAAGGCGGCUCACUGGCGUGCUACUGACCCUCAGGGACGAAAGCGUGGGGAGCAAACA
rnacentral:rRNA from 1 species